rfam:Tyto alba contig24089, whole genome shotgun sequence.
CUCCACAGCUACUGAUCUGGAACUGUUCAGAACUGUAGCAGUUGCGGAAUUCCCUCUGUGGAAGACUAAACUGUUACAUGGUACUAAGCUCCUUCUCAGAUCCUCUGAAAAGGACUUCCUAUGUAACAAACAGUG